rnacentral:tRNA from 1 species
UCCCUGGAGGACUAGUGGUUAGGCCACAGCGCUGUCACUGCUGUGGCCUGGGUUCGAUUCCUGGCCAGGGAA